rnacentral:rRNA from 1 species
AUCGAACGCUGGCGGCAUGCCUAACACCUGCAAGUCGAACGAGUAGCGGACGGGUGAGUAAGGUCUGGGAAACUGCCUGAUGUACGGGUCUAACUACUGGAAAAGGUAGCACAUACCGCAUACGAUCGGCUGUGCCCAGAUGGGGUUAGCUAGUAGGUGGGGUAAAGGCUCACCUAGGCGCAGAUCCCUAGCUGGUCUAAGAGGAUGACCAGCCACACUGGAACUGAGACACGGUCCAGACUCCUACGGGAGGCAGCAGUGGGGAAUAUUGCACAAUGGGCGCAAGCCUGAUGCAGCCAUGCCGCGUGUAUGAAGAAGGCCUUCGGGUUGUAAAGUACUUUCAGCGGGGAAGCGUUACCCGCUGAAGAAGCACCGGCUAACUCCGUGCCAGCAGCCGCGGUAAUUC